rnacentral:snRNA from 1 species
AAGCUCGUCUGGGCAGCAAAUAUGCUAAAAUUUGAAUAAUACAGAGAAAAUUCACAUGGCCUUUGCCCAAGGAAGAUCCAACUGACAUAACUCAAUUUC